AGGUGAGCCUGCGGAAGGAUCAUUACCGAGUUCAUGCCCUUACGGGUAGAUCUCCCACCCUUUGUAUACUAUACCUUUGUUGCUUUGGCGGGCCGCCUAGCUACUGGCUUCGGCUGGUAUGUGCCCGCCAGAGGACCCAAAACCCUGAAUUAUUAGUGUCGUCUGAGUAAAAUAUUUAAUAUUUAAAACUUUCAACAACGGAUCUCUUGGCUCUGG
rnacentral:misc_RNA from 1 species